GAAAAUGCGAUAUGCAGUGUGAAUUGCAGAACCACGAAUCAUCGGAUCUUUGAAUGCAACUAGCUCUGGUCUUAAACCAGAAUGUUUGGUUCAGUGUGCGCAACAAACUCCCUAAGCACAAUGUUGGAGAAGUUCUCCGAUUAAGCACAUGCUCUCAGCAGCAGUCAGAGCAAUCUGAGCUGUUGGCAGAUAAACUCCUUUUUGCUCCUGAACCAAGCAAGAUGACCCGCUGGACUUAA
rnacentral:misc_RNA from 1 species